rnacentral:misc_RNA from 1 species
GGGCAGUAAAAGGGUGAGCAACCAAAAUUACCAAUUAUACAUCAAUUGAAAUUUUCACCUUCCUGGGAGCAAGUACCACAUUUUUGUUUCCAGGAAAGGCAUUACUAGAUAUGUCUACGAGGGCCUUGAAACUAUACGGUUCAUGCAUAGAUAGCUCUGACAAAACUUUCCUGUUUAGCUGAAUGUUCUCCUUCAUUAGACCAUGCAUGAAGUUACCAUAGUUAACACCAUGUUGGCGUGUGCCAGCAUUGAUGCGUUGGAUCCAGAGAGAGCGCAUGUCUCGCUUCUUGUUCCGACGGUCCCUGUAGGAAUACUGCAAGGCCUUCUCUACUCUUUCUCUUGCGAUACGAAUGCAGUUCUUUGCUCUUCCCCUAAAACCUUUCGCUAGUUUUAGUACCUCUUUCUUGUUCAUCUUUCUACUGUCUCUUUCCUGAGAUGAAGGUUGUGCGACAGUAAUAGGGAACCUCGUGGUCCGUUCGUGGUCGUAAAGGAGAAGAGCAACGGUGGCUCAAAUGAGUUUAGCG